UUCUCCCUUCUUUUCUCUUUUUGCUACUCCUUUUAAUAUGUUUUCACAUUAAUCAUUUUGCUACUUAUUGGAGCAACUUUGAUCAUUGGAAAUACCACACACAAAUUAAUCCAGUGUCCAAAUCCCUUUGAAACAUUCUAUUUCUAGUGCAUAUGGGGAGAAGCACAUUUUCUUAGUGAUUGUUCUCUUUCUAGUUCAAUAUUACUCAGUUUUUAUAUCAGCUGCUUUGUCAAAUGAAACAGACCAACAAGCUCUACUAGCUUUCCGAAAUCUUGUUACAAGUCCUAGUCAUUUUUUGUUCAAUAAUUGGACAAAAAAUACUUCUUUUUGCUCUUGGUUUGGUGUCAAUUGUGGUACAAGAAAGCAAAGGGUCGUGGCCUUGGUUCUUCCAGAUUUGCAACUUCAAGGCACAAUUUCCCCGUCUUUGGCCAAUUUAUCUUUUCUCGGAGAGCUCAAUCUCAGGAACAAUCAGCUCCAAGGAAAUAUCCCUACAAGCCUAUUUCAACACCAGAGAAUUCAAGUAAUUUCAUUGGCUAUCAAUAAACUCAGUGGUGAAUUAUGGAAAGGGCCAUGGUACGUACCAGAACUCAGAGCCUUAAAUCUCAGGAACAAUAGCCUCAUAGGUAUUAUCCCUCCUUCAAUUGGAAAUGCCACAAAAUUGAUGAACUUCAGUUUGUAUGUGAAUAAAAUCAGCGGCAACAUUCCAAAGGAAAUUUGUAAUUUAAGCCAACUUAAAUUUUUGUCCUUGGCCAAUAAUCAGUUAACAGGUUCCAUUCCCGCAACACUGUUUAAUAUCUCGUCGCUACUUGCCAUAUAUCUGGGAGACAAUAGCCUUUCUGGUCCUCUCUUGCUAAAUGAAGGGAAUAUUGUAUCAAAUCUAGAGUCAUUAGGUAUAUCUUACAACCAAAUUUCUGGUUGCAUUCCUUCUAACAUAUGCCAACUCAUAGAGCUGAAAAUGUUGUCAAUAUCUUUCAACAAGAUAACAGGAGAUAUACCUAGAAAUAUUGGUUGUUUAUCCAAGCUCGAGGAGUUUUAUAUUGGUUAUAAUCCAUUAAAAGGGACUAUUCCCACUUCAUUGAGCAAUAUUUCCACUCUGCGAAAUAUUUUUUGUGGAAACAAUUACUUGGAGGGGCCAAUUCCUCCUGAAUUGGGGAAGCUAUAUAAUUUGAGUGAAUUAGGAUUUCGGCAUAAUUAUAAUCUUUUUGGGGAAAUUCCAGAGGAUAUUUUUAAUAUAUCUUCUUUGGAAAUAAUUGAUUUCGAUUCCAACAACCUCUCCAUGAGAAUUCCAGCCACUACAGGUCUUCAUCUUCCGAACCUUGAAGAAAUUUCCUUGGGAAACAAUCAGCUGGAAGGGGAAAUUCCAUUGUUCAUAACAAAUUCUUCCAAGCUUGAGGUACUUGUCCUAAUUAAUAACUUUCUCACUGGAACUAUUCCUGUUAAUUUGGGAAAUCUUCGUGAGCUGCACUCACUGCUCCUACAUACUAAUCAACUUGCAAAUGAACCAAGAGAGCAUGAGUAGAGAUUCUUCAAUUCUUUGACGGACUGUAGGAUCUUGCAACAUCUACAAGUGGGUUCCAAUCCGAUGAAUGGCAUUCUGCCUAAUUCAAUUGGGAAUCUUUCAUCUACUCUUGAAAACAUUGAAAUAGGAGAUGCACUCAUCAACUGCCCCAUCCCCACAAGUAUAGGAAACAUGAGCGGUCUAAUGUCCCUAGAUUUUAAAUUAAACAACUUGAUGGGGAGUAUUCCUUUAGAGGUUUGUAAGCUUAAACAACUACAAGGGCUGUAUCUAACUUAUAAUAAAAUGCAAGGACAUAUUCCAGAUGUGGUAUGCCAGUUAUCUAAUUUGGUUCAAUUAAGUUUGUAUGGUAAUGAGCUCUCUGGAUUAAUUCCAGGAUGUUUAGGAAAUCUUAAGAUGCUACAAAAGCUUGAUUUGGGUUCCAAUCAUUUUUCAUCCAAAUUUCCCUUGAAUCUUUGGAAAAUGAGCGGUCUUCUUUAUCAAACAGUGUCAUGCAAUUCUUUAGAGGGAGAAGUUCCAUCAGAUAUUGGAGAACUGAAAGCCAUUGUAAAACUAGAUCUUUCCGGUAACCACUUUUCAGGCAUGUUACCAACCAGGUUGGGGGAACUCCAGAAUCUGCAGUCUCUUGACCAAUCGAACAAUUCAUUUUUUGGCCAAAUUCCAUUAUCCUUUGCCAACUUGAUAAGCUUGGAAUUCAUGGAUUUGUCCUUAAAUGCCUUGUCGGGUACUAUUCCUAAGUCUUUGGAAAAGCUCUCAUAUCUAAAAAGCAUUAAUGUUUCAUUUAAUGAUUUAGAAGGUGCAAUACCCAGUGGUGGUGUGUUUGCAAAUUCCACUCUGCGAUCAUUUCUUGGGAACAAAGGUCUAUGUGGAAUGCACAAAUUAAAGGUUCCUGCUUGCCCUAUCACUAAUCCUGGGAAACAAUCAAAGUCUAAAGAGCUUGUGCUGAAAAUUGUUAUUCCAGUGGUUACUUCAUCCUUUCUGAUACUCUUGUUGGUUUCAAUUUGGGUGAUGAAGCGAAAGAAGAAAGGAAAGUCUAAAGAUGUCGAAAAGGUUUGGGAGAUCACUUAUCAAUUGAUUUCUUUUCAUGAGAUUCAACUAGCAACAAAUAAUUUUGAUGGAUCAAAUUUAAUUGGUGUGGGAAGUUUUGGCUCUGUGUACAAAGGCACAUUAUCUAGCGGAACUGUUGUGGCCAUAAAGGUUCUGAAUUUAGAAAAUAGGAAGUAUGCAAGAGGUUUGAUGCCGAAUGCGAAGUGAUGAGAAAUGUUAGACACAGAAAUCUUGUUCCUGUGAUUACUACUUGUUCUAGCGACUGUAUAAGAGCCUUCGUUCUGCAAUAUAUGCCCAAUGGAAGUCUUGAGAAUUGGUUGUACAAAGAAGAGUCCCACUUGAACCUCCUACAAAGAGUAUCCAUAAUGCUUGAUGUGGCUGUGGCAAUUGAAUAUGUACAUCGUGGUCAUAACACUACAAUAGUUCAUUGCUACCUAAAGCCAGCAAACGUUCUUUUCGAUGAAGAUAUGAUGGCACAAGUUGGUGAUUUUGGAAUCUCGAAGAUCUUAGCCGUAAGCAAGUCCAUGGCACAUACUGAGACAUUGGGCACUCUUGGAUACAUCGCACCAGAAUAUGGCUCAGAAGGAAUAGUGUCUACUAGUGGUGAUAUUUAUAGUUACGGCAUCAUGUUGAUGGAGGUUUUGGCAGCAAGAAGACCAACAGAUGAAGAGAUAUUCAAUGAAAAUCUUGACUUGAGGGAGUGGAUAAGGCGAGCAUUUCCAAGAAUUAUGAUGGAAGUUGUUGAUGCCAAUCUUUUUCCUGAGGAAGAACAAAUCACUUCCAAAAGUGAAAUCUGCAUAGCCUCAAUGGUAGACUUGGCUUUAGACUGCACAAAGAAAACGCCAGGAUCAAGAAUAACCAUGAAAGAUGUAGUCAAGAGGCUUAAGAAAAUCAAGAACGGAUUUCUGGAAGCUUAGAAACUUAGCUUCUCUUCGGAUGGUCUUGUUUCUGAGCUGCAAGUUAAUAUGUUGCUUUUAAUUGUCCUGGUUUCUUUAGUAAAGUCGACGUAAAAUACUUAAGAGUCAUGUACUGCUUGUACUUCAGAGUGUUGCAUUUCACUCAUUUUGUGAUUUCAGAUUUCAGCGAACUUGGUUCAAUUUUUCAAGUAAUUAUGAUUCAAGAAAUAUUUUGAAGGUUUUUCGCUGCAUUAUUUUUCUUUCUGUUUGCAAGUUUGGAAACAUCUCUUAUUCCCUCAUAUUUUUUUAUUCAAUAACUCAUUCCUUUGCAUUAAUUCAGUAACUUUUUUUGUUAACAUAAAAGUUUAAGUAUAAGUUGGAGGUUUCAAAAAAAAAAAAAAAAAAAAAACUUUGCUAGCAUGGGA